CAAGUUAAAAGAAUAUGAUAUUAAUUAAUAAGAAAGAAAGUUAGUGUGAAAAAUGUCAACACUUGAAACUUAGGGGCUGAACUUGUUAAAUGUAAUAUUAGUUUCACUAAACUAGAGAAACCACAAAAAUAAACACACUGAUGUGUGUUGUAGUCGACCAGAAGCAAGACAAAGGGGGGAAAACCCUAGUUUUCAAGGAUUCUCAAGAUUAAGAAGAAAUUGAGAGCCCAAAUCAAUGCUAGAACCCGAAUUGUCAACCAUCUAAGCUCGAACAUCAAUAGGCGUGAAGGAAGAAAGCUCGAACACUAGUAAAGCGGGAGGUGUACAAGAUCGAGGUAAAACUCCGCUAUAGGCCAUUUGGGGAUAUGGAGCGAGCACAUGA